UGGCCCUAACAGGAAAGUUCUUCAGGAAAAGAAACACACACACAAAAUCUAGUAUUAGUAUGUCUAAGAGUAAUAUAUAUUAAAAAUAGUUGACAAUAUCAGACUUAGUGUUAUUUUCUGUUUGUCUUCUAUGAUUAGGAUUUUUUGGAAACUUUUAUAGAGAAAUUAUUUAAACUAUUAAGUCACAGCCUUUGUUUUCAACAGGAAAAUGAGGGUAUAGAGCAUUGAGAGGAAAAAUGAUUUUCCAAAAGUCAUCCAUCAAGAGAGAGAGACCAGACCAUACAAAAGAAAAAAGUCAAUUCUAUAGAACAGUUGCACAUCAAAUAAAGCAAUAGCGCUUUCUUGCAAUGAACAUAACCUGAAAGCCACCAAUAUCCAGAAUUUGUAGGACUCAGUGACUCAGUCAGAAAAAGAAACAAGUUAUUUACAGAGGAAAUUGAAGUGGCCAAUGCAGAGCUGAACCUUCUACCAGAAAGGAGAGAGGCAGGGGAGGAAAUUACAUGUGCCAGUCUCACCAUCUUUAGACUAAAAUGUUGACAUCUCCCAGAGCUAGGGAUGCUAUGCUCAGCACGCAGCAGUUUCACUGUGGAUAAGACCAAGAGAACACCUCAUACAUGCCAAAACGAAAGACAAAAGCACCCUGGAAAUCUAGACACAAGGAAAUUGUCGUCUGGCUAUUUUAGUAUGAGUUCUCUCCAAUGUGUAUUCUGAAACAAUUCAGUGAAAGUGGUGUGUGUGGUAGGAUGCACCAGAAAGCACAGUUGGGAUAUGGGAAAACAAGAAACCUAGUUCAAGGUCAUUAAGCAGAUUCCCAUUGACAACCCGGGAAACUGAGGGAGGAAGAAAGCUGGAGUGUGUAGAUCCUGAUCGUUGUUUGCACGAUGUUCCACACUGCCAGCUUGUUGCUCUGUGUAAACCGGACACACUCCAACUGCCAAGGUCCCAAGCUGCUAACAUAAAUGCAAAGAAUACGAAACACUAGCAAUUCCAUGUUUCUGCUACUUUCUACAUAAAAAAAAGUGCACAGCCCAGUAAUUUAUUUGAAAUAUAAUAUCCAUCAGGGUGAGGGUAAGGGUGAUAAUCAUAGCUUCCACCAAAGCAUUGUGUAUACUGAAAAGGAGACAUGAUACGUUUUUGUGUUAGAAGGCGAGGUUUCAGGUGGGCUUUGAAUUUGGUUUGACUGAGACUCAUUGAGUUUGAGGUGUCUUUAGGAAAGGAAGAAAGAAGGGAACAAAAAAUAAAAAGCAAUGGAAACAUGCCUUCAAAUUCUGAAAAGGAAAUUAUUUUCAACUAAUACAUCUAUGCUCACUCAAAUAAAGACAGACGUGUGUGGGUC
rnacentral:lncRNA from 1 species